GCUGACGAGUGGCGGACGGGUGAGUAAUGUCUGGGAAACUGCCUGAUGGAGGGGGAUAACUACUGGAAACGGUAGCUAAUACCGCAUAAUGUCGCAAGACCAAAGAGGGGGACCUUCGGGCCUCUUGCCAUCGGAUGUGCCCAGAUGGGAUUAGCUUGUUGGUGGGGUAACGGCUCACCAAGGCGACGAUCCCUAGCUGGUCUGAGAGGAUGACCAGCCACACUGGAACUGAGACACGGUCCAGACUCCUACGGGAGGCAGCAGUGGGGAAUAUUGCACAAUGGGCGCAAGCCUGAUGCAGCCAUGCCGCGUGUAUGAAGAAGGCCUUCGGGUUGUAAAGUACUUUCAGCGGGGAGGAAGGGAGUAAAGUUAAUACCUUUGCUCAUUGACGUUACCCGCAGAAGAAGCACCGGCUAACUCCGUGCCAGCAGCCGCGGUAAUACGGAGGGUGCAAGCGUUAAUCGGAAUUACUGGGCGUAAAGCGCACGCAGGCGGUUUGUUAAGUCAGAUGUGAAAUCCCCGGGCUCAACCUGGGAACUGCAUCUGAUACUGGCAAGCUUGAGUCUCGUAGAGGGGGGUAGAAUUCCAGGUGUAGCGGUGAAAUGCGUAGAGAUCUGGAGGAAUACCGGUGGCGAAGGCGGCCCCCUGGACGAAGACUGACGCUCAGGUGCGAAAGCGUGGGGAGCAAACAGGAUUAGAUACCCUGGUAGUCCACGCCGUAAACGAUGUCGACUUGGAGGUUGUGCCCUUGAGGCGUGGCUUCCGGAGCUAACGCGUUAAGUCGACCGCCUGGGGAGUACGGCCGCAAGGUUAAAACUCAAAUGAAUUGACGGGGGCCCGCACAAGCGGUGGAGCAUGUGGUUUAAUUCGAUGCAACGCGAAGAACCUUACCUGGUCUUGACAUCCACGGAAGUUUUCAGAGAUGGAUUGUGCCUUCGGGAACUGUGAGACAGGUGCUGCAUGGCUGUCGUCAGCUCGUGUUGUGAAAUGUUGGGUUAAGUCCCGCAACGAGCGCAACCCUUAUCCUUUGUUGCCAGCGGUCCGGCCGGGAACUCAAAGGAGACUGCCAGUGAUAAACUGGAGGAAGGUGGGGAUGACGUCAAGUCAUCAUGGCCCUUACGACCAGGGCUACACACGUGCUACAAUGGCGCAUACAAAGAGAAGCGACCUCGCGAGAGCAAGCGGACCUCAUAAAGUGCGUCGUAGUCCGGAUUGGAGUCUGCAACUCGACUCCAUGAAGUCGGAAUCGCUAGUAAUCGUGGAUCAGAAUGCCACGGUGAAUACGUUCCCGGGCCUUGUACACACCGCCCGUCACACCAUGGGAGUGGGUUGCAAAAGAAGUAGGUAGCUUAACCUUCGGGAGGGCGCUUACCACUUUGUGAUUCAUGACUGGGGUGAAGUCGUAACAAGGUAACCGUAGGGGAACCUGCGGUUGGAUCACCUCCUUACCUUAAAGAA
rnacentral:rRNA from 1 species